rnacentral:misc_RNA from 1 species
AACGCACGAGACCUGCGGACCUGCGGAAGGAUCAUUACCUAGAGUUUGUAGACUUCGGUCUGCUACCUCUUACCCAUGUCUUUUGAGUACCUUCGUUUCCUCGGCGGGUCCGCCCGCCGAUUGGACAACAUUCAAACCCUUUGCAGUUGCAAUCAGCGUCUGAAAAAACAUAAUAGUUACAACUUUUAACAACGGAUCUCU